rnacentral:rRNA from 1 species
UUAACAGAGACCAACGGGGGCAUUCGUACCGCUGCGUGAGAGGUGAAAUUCUGGACCGCAGCGAGACGAACUACAGCGAAAGCAUUUGCCAAGAAGGUCUUCAUUAAUCAAGAACGAAAGUCAGAGGUUCGAAGGCGAUCAGAUACCGCCCUAGUUCUGACCGUAAACGAUGCCAACUAGCGAUCUGCCGGCGGAAUUUUCGCCCUGGUAGGGAGCUUCCCGGAAACGAAAGUCUUCCGGUUCCGGGGGAAGUAUGGUUGCAAAGCUGAAACUUAAAGGAAUUGACGGAAGGGCACCACCAGGAGUGGAGCCUGCGGCUUAAUUUGACUCAACACGGGGAAACUCACCCGGCCCGGACACCAUAAGGAUUGACAGAUUGAUAGCUUUUUCAUGAUUUGGUGGAUGGUGGUGCAUGGCCGUUCUUAGUUCGUGGAGCGAUUUGUCUGGUUUAUUCCGAUAACGAGCGAGACUCUAGCCUACUAAAUAGUCUGCACAUUGCUAUUGUGAUGCAGUACUUCUUAGAGGGAUUUUCGGUGUACAGCCGCACGAGAUUGAGCAAUAACAGGUCUGUGAUGCCCUUAGAUGUCCGGGGCUGCACGCGCGCUACACUGGCGAAAUCAGCGUGCUUGUCCUUGCUCGAAAGAGCUUGGUAAACCAAUGAAAAUUUGCCGUGAUUGGGAUCGGAAAUUGCAAUUAUUUUCCGUGAACGAGGAAUUCCAAGUAAAUGCGAGUCAUCAACUCGCGUUGAUUACGUCCCUGCCCUUUGUACACACCGCCCGUCGCUGCCCGGGACUGAGCCAUUUCGAGAAAUUUGGGGAUUGCUGAUUAGCGGUCUUUCGGGAUUGCUUUUUGGUGAGAACCAAUUUAAUCGCAGUGGCUUGAACCGGGCAAAAGUCGUA